AGCUGUUCUACUUUUCCUGUACACCCCAAUAUGAACUCCAGCAGAAGGACAGGAGGAGUCUUCUCAGGAGGCUCUCAGGGGAGGACCACUCCUGGAAGCAUCUCUGCCAGCCGCAGACCUGUGAAGUAGAGCAGUACAGAGUCCCAGGCCCUGGCACGAGAGGAGGCCUUAAAUGAGGAUUGCAGUUUAAAUUGUGAUUAUUCAAAUGAUUCCUGCAUGUUGCCCAAGAAGGAGGCCAUCCCCUGAGACUUUAUACACCUGGGAAUCAACCAGGUCUUUCGGAGAGACACAAGGUGCGACCCAUCAUGUCCCCAGGGGUUUGGGGUUCUGGGGAAGAGGGCAGAGAUCUGCUCAGAAGCUACUCUUUGGGAGAAAAAAUCGGAGGGAGUUACAAGGCAAUGACUGGGAAAAACUCCAGGUCCUAGCUGCUUAUCCUUCACCGGACGGCCAUCCCGGGGCAGGGCAUCAGGAGGAGCCUCUUGACUGAAGAGUGAGACGGAGCCGAAGCAAGAGGAGGUCGGCGAGGGGAGGUGCAGGGGAAGCUCCCACGGCUGCACGACCUGAGUGCUCACCAUUGGCAGUGGCCAGGAAACAGGGAGUUACUGAGGGCUGUCAGACACAUCUGGAUCCACGGUCUCAAAGAGAUGAAGAUGACUGUUGCCAAUUCCGUCAUGGGUGUAAGUGACAGGAGAGUCCACAGGGUGUGGGGAGAUAAAAUGCACAAAGGGCUUUUUACCAUUAAUCUACGUAACUGUUUGGAAAUCAGGCUUGUCAAGAUGUCUAGAUUCCCUCCCCGGUCCUGGGAGAGGAACAAAGCCUGGUAGUUACAGCCAGCUGUGUGGAGAGGGACGAGGACACACAGACACACACAGACGCUCCCCCCACCCCAAUAGAGCCUCGCCAGGCUCUGGUACCUGCAUCCACAACCUCUCGCCAGAAGCUGGUCCGGGACUCAAAGUGAAGUGAGACAUGCUGCAGGUACAGUGUGUCUCUGUACCAUAUCUCACUAGGGGAGGGGGAAAAAAUGUCUAUGCCGGGCAGGUUCAGGGUGUGUGUUUUGGCCUCUCAAGGGAAGGGCAGAGAACUGGAUGCGAUUUAAUCUGCUUUUAAACUAUUGGUCAUUAUGAUGUCUACAUGAGGCACCUGACACAGGCCACCUCAGCAUGUCCUUCAGCUCACCAAAGUGAUGAAGCUGUAAGAAAGUCAGGAGAAAGUUUAGGAUACCCCCAAGCUGGGCACAGCACGUGCGAAGCUGAGGUGUGCUUCUUGCUGUGCAUGGAUGUGGUGGGCAGGGAGCGGCGUGCCUCCUCCCCCAGGGCCUGGCUUCGCAAAUAGAAAUGUCCCGCAAACGUUCCCGUCAUAUGCUGGCCGCAUUUCUGAGACAGUCCUUGACAUACUCCCAGGGGCUGCAACAGCACCUUUGCUGUAGGACAGAUAGCAAAGUUUGGCGUGCUAAGCCAGGUCAGCAGAAGGUUGCUUUUCACCCUCUUUCUGCUGACAGAGUGGUGGAAGAGCUGGGACCUGGCGCAAACAGCCCUGCUGCUGCAAAUGAAGAAAAGAGGGAAGAAAUGUUAGU